UUUAAAAUGGUCUUGUCAUCUAGAUUGACACCAUUUUUUUGGAGCGUUGAAAUAAAAUUUGGUUCAAAAUUAUGAAAAAAACAAGAGUGGAUCCCCUUAAUCCCUUCAGGCAUGGAAUUAAAUAUUUAACUCAGCAAGCUCUCACAGAAAAACAACACCUGAAAACAUCUGCGGAGGUAAAAAGAGUUAGCGACCCUCAAGAUAUACUACAACCAAGCGAAAAAAGCUUUCUGAAUUUAGGAUCCUGACAACGGCGGAGUUAAAAAGGCACAUUUUGUCAUAAAUAAAACAUACGCGGGCAACACACACAACCCCCCCACCACCACCACCAACAAAAAGUCCCAAGAGACAGAUGGGAUGCUGUUUGUGAACUCAUGCUUUGCACAGCAAAGGAGGCUAUAGCACUGCGUCACUGCGACUCCAACUACAUUCCCACAUCCAGCCCCACAUCCAGCAAGGACUAGUCCUGUUUAAAAAUUCAUUAAUUUACAGCAAAAAUAGAUUAAAGGGCCCAACUGCAGCAACCUAAAAAUUUGGCUGGUGAAUUGCAUUAAUAAUGGAAGUGAGCAUCCCAAACCUCAAGGCCCAGGCUCAGAGGCAUGGCUUUGGUUUUGUUACGCUUUAUAAUGGAGCAUCAUUUACAUUUUUUAGAAGUAUCGCAGCUUUUUGAUGCUUGUUUAUAAUUGCAUUGUUUUACAUGCAAAUUGGCUAACAAUUGAUAGUCAUUAAAGCCUAACUGGUAAGAGUGCAACUCUCCCUGCUUGUGUAAGACACGGGCUUCAACAUGAGGAAGCUUUCUGCUCAACUCCUGCGUCGCUGGCGGCGCGGGGACCCAGUUCAAUCCAAACAACGGCACAUAAAAGGUGAUCAUCCCUUUCUUGUCUCUCACAUCUUCCUUUUUUUUUUUUUAAAUCACAGGGAUGCUUUACUAACUGAAUCAAAGAGGAUUUCCACUAGAUAAAAGGAUUUGCAGCAUUAGAAUUUAAAUUGCGUGAUACUUUACCAGGGGACACGACAGAGGUCGCAUUGAAAGAGAUGGCACAAAAAAAAAAAAAAACAGUAGAUCCUGAUGUUGAAAUACUAUCUGGUUUCAUCCGACUAUCCAAUUCUUGGGAGUGUUAAACUAUCAGGUCAUUUUAAUAAAUCACUUCUAAAGGAGCUGAUAACUGAUGUGGCUUGAGGUAAUUAAAGUGACCCCAUGACCUGCAGUGGCCUGGCAAUUAGAGGCAAAUUAGAAGGCUUCCAGCUGAAAGGACAUCUCAUCCACACCUCCUUCAGCAUCCACCGCCGUGCUAUCUGCCUGCAAGACAUUUCACCAGAAAUCCCUCUGGAGGAAGAGUCUGUGAUGAAGAGGAGCAGACAGCUUCCAGGCAUCAAUCUGAACAACAGAAGAGUGCUAAAAAAAAUAUAUCGCAAUGUUAUGUUGAAUGAAGUGAUCUUUUUUUCAAGGUUAGCCGCUGAUUCGGAGAAGUCAAUGCAGCAGCUCUAAUCAUCUUCUGCUCAGCACGUCAAACAAAGAUGACUUAAAGAGACUUUUUUCAAAGGGCGGCUAAUGCGGAUGAUGCGGGUUCGUCAACAUGAGCCGUGCAGCAGUCCGCAGACGUGUGCUUCACUUCCACACAAGAAGCACACAAAAGUAUUAAUAUUCAAUAUUGCGCAUUACUUGCUUAACAAUACAAGUUGCCCUUGAGUUUCUUCCAUCCAACUUAUCCCGACAGACUCAUUUGUAAAUACGCUCAAAGGGAAUGAUCAAGAGAACAUACCUUUUUUCUAUAAAUUAAAAAAGAAAAAAUUAAAAGGCCACGAAUACAUCAGACAAACUGAGAUGUCUGUAAUUUAUCCACAAAUAACCCUUCAUUCAACUUUCAAAAAGUCAUUACCCACACUUGCUUCUUCAGCUAGCAUUUGCUGACAUUGACGAUAAUUGCAACGACCUUUCUGAUGAUAAAACACAAAUCAGUAAAACAUUAUGAUAGGUUCCUUCUCUUCACGUUUCACGAGAUUCUCCAUAACGUUUUAAUGAGGCAUUUAGGGGUCCAUGAGUGAUGUGCUGAAAAAGCCCUACAAUGGCAAUCAGCGAGUGAGUGUGGCAGCUGUUCGGCAAUUAAAAAGCCAAAUUACCCUCAAUCAACACCAUUUACAAGCACAAGUAAAUCUCAGAGCCAAUAAUGAUGAGAGAAAUCUGUUCAGACAGCACUCAUCUUGAUGGGAAUUAAGGGGGUGCAUGGAAAUCAGAACCAGGGGUGAUCUGUCCAUAAGACUUUUCCAGAGUUGAGACUGCAAGCAAGAUCCCUGAUGGAGAUUUUCUUUUAAAACAAUGUUUUAUAUCGAUCAUUUUAGAGACAUUUUUGACCCAUUUGAUGGAACAUUUACUACUCACCGCCGUGCGUGGAUGUGAACUGGCUCCCUUUUUUUAUUUAUUUUUUCUGUACUCCAGACGCCUAUGGUUGUGCUCCUGAAAAUCCCAUCCGAAGACAAAAGCUCCCGCGCGGCGGCUUGUCUUUCCCUGCGUCCUCCGGGGGCACGCGGCUAAGCACGCGUGCAGCGACCGCCGCUGUGGUCACUUGGACUGUCCUCGCGACGCGACGCCCGCGACCCGCUUUCCUUCACGUGAGCUCAGUCUCUGAAGAAGACCCCGGCUCUCCGCUGAUCUGCGCUCCGCUGAUAAGCCACCGGAACUACUUCCAGCGCCAGCCGGAGCACGUUGAAGAUGAAUUCAUGCACCACAAUAGGAAAAAUGAAUUCACAUCCAUGGAACUAGUCCCCGUUUCGGCGGCAGCACUGAGAUUUUCACAGGGACGUGAACGCCGCAUGUCAGAAAUAUUGAAAAUAAAACACACAUUUAGAUUUUUUUUUUAAA